rnacentral:rRNA from 1 species
GAUGAACGCUGGCGGCGUGCUUAACACAUGCAAGUCGAACGGGAAAUAUUUCAUUGAGACUUCGGUGGAUUUGAUCUAUUUCUAGUGGCGGACGGGUGAGUAACGCGUGGGUAACCUGCCUUAUACAGGGGGAUAACAGUCAGAAAUGGCUGCUAAUACCGCAUAAGCGCACAGAGCUGCAUGGCUCAGUGUGAAAAACUCCGGUGGUAUAAGAUGGACCCGCGUUGGAUUAGCUUGUUGGUGGGGUAACGGCCCACCAAGGCGACGAUCCAUAGCCGGCCUGAGAGGGUGAACGGCCACAUUGGGACUGAGACACGGCCCAGACUCCUACGGGAGGCAGCAGUGGGGAAUAUUGCACAAUGGGGGAAACCCUGAUGCAGCGACGCCGCGUGAAGGAAGAAGUAUCUCGGUAUGUAAACUUCUAUCAGCAGGGAAGAUAGUGACGGUACCUGACUAAGAAGCCCCGGCUAACUACGUGCCAGCAGCCGCCGCCG